rnacentral:lncRNA from 1 species
UAAAUGUCAGGAGGCACCAAGAACAAUGUUCUCGUCACAAAACCAUCGAAACGAUUCCAAGAUACCCGCGUGAUCCUAAAUUUUUUUUAGUGAAAUUUGAGGAGAGGAAAGUCAAAACAUCUACGUCAGGAGGCCUCACCAGAGCGACGAAGGGACUGAGGAGUAAAAAGAAUCCUACUCUCCGAUAUAUAUAAUCCUAAGACUCAAAACAUUUUUGUUCUAGACUCAACAACGCCAGCGAUUCAAUCAAGCAGGGGCUCCUAAGUCGGGGAUGGCUCUGAUACCAACUUGUAACACCCACGAUGCGGCUAUAUCUCUCACAUGUCAAGACACGACUUAGAGGCAUAACCGCAUUGUAGGUUUUGUCGCAAGAAGGGUCAUCUUCACACAAUCCCAUGUAAUGAACAAGAAUGGGAUAAAGAGUUGGCUUACAAUCGCCACUUCACACAAUACAUAAAUAAAACAUACAUCAUUCAGAGUACACACAUAGGCCGACUACGGACAAAUCCAAAUAAAAAGAAGAUAACCCAACUGCUAGAUCCCGAUCUUCCCCAACUGGGCAUCACUACUGAUCAACAUGAAAAUAAACAUAGAAACGACCAAGUCUCUCGUCGAAACCCGACUUGAGUUCGGCAGCAUCACCUGCGCUGGUAUCCUCGGCACCUGCAAUUAUUUUUGUAGUAAUAUGUGAGCCACAAGGACUCAGCAAUCCCAUUACCAUGGGUAACAAGACUAGCAAAGCUUAAUGGGAAAGGAAGGGGUAAAGUGGUGAGGUUGCAGCAGCGGCUAAGCAAGUAUGGUGGCUAUCAUACGCAAAUAAGAGCGAGAAGAGAAGCAAUGGAACGGUCGUCAACUAGUAAUGAACAAGAAGUGAUCCUGAACUCCUAUUUACGCCAAGCAUAACCCAAGGACCGUGUUCUCCUCUCGAACAACCCCGAAAGAGAGACAAUCACAGUUACGCACACGGUUGGUGUAUUUUAGAAAAGAUUACUUCAAGUUUACUACAACCGGAUAUUAACAAAUUCCCAUCUGCCACAUAACCGCGGGCACGGCUUUCGAAAGUUCAAAACCCUGCAGGGGUGUCCCAACUUAGCCCAUGAUAAGCUCUCACGGUCAACGAAGGAUAUUCCUUCUCCCGGGAAGACCCGAUCAAUCUCGGAAUCCCGGUUACAAGACAUUUCGACAAGUUAAAAUAAGACCAACAAAGCCGCCCGGCGUGUCGACACCCUGAUAGAAGCCGCACGUAUCUCGUUCUCAGGACACGACCGGAUGAGUCAAGCUACGAGUAAAACCAGCCCUCAAGUUUCCCCGAGGUGGCCCCGCAGGUUGCUCGGUUCGGACCAGCACUUAGAGAAGCACUGGCCCGGGGGGGGCUAAAUAAAGAUGACCCUUGAGUCUGCAGAACCCAAGGGAAAGGUAUAGGUGGUAGGUAGGCAAAUGGUAAAACCAAAGUUAGGCCUUGCUGGAGGAGUUUUAUUCAAGGCGAACUGUCAAGGGGGUCCCAUAAAUCACCCAACCGUGUUAGGGACGCAAAAAUCUGGGAACAUAAUACCGAUAUGACGGAAACUAGGGUGGCAAGAGUGGAACAAGACACUAGGCAAAAGGCCGAGCCUUCCACCCUUUACCUAGUAUAUAGAUGCAUUAAUAAUAUAAGAGAUAUUGUGAUAUCCCAACAUAAACAUAAACCAACAUGGAGCAAACUUCAUCUUCACCUGCAACUAGCAACGCUAUAAGAGGGGCUGAGCAAAAGCGGUAACAUGGCCAAACAACGGUUUGCUAGGACGGGUGAAAAAGGUUAGAGGUUCAUGGCAAUUUGGGAGGCUUGAUAAGCAAGUGGUAGGUAACGCGGCAUAGCGAUAGAACGAAGCAACUAGUAUAGCAAUGAGAUCCAAGGUGACGGUCAUCUUGCCUGAAAUCCCGCUUGGAAGAAGAACGAGUCCAUGAAGCAGACAAACGGGCGGAGUCGAACGAAUCCUCACAACUCCGGAACGAAACCGUAGCUAACAAGAGAAGCAAACCGGAAAGGAGCAAACAACAUAGUAAACAAUCAUCACAUAAACAUGGCAUGAUGCACAAUCAAGUAUGAUGCAUGUCCGGUUUAAGGAGGCAUGGCAUGACAAAGUGCACAAAACAAAACUACAAAUUAAGUGGAGCUCAAUAUGCAACGAGUUGCAUAUUGCCGAAACACCACAUUCAAGUUAUUUAGUUCGCUCUCGGUUAUGUACCCAACAAUAUUAAAAGUUAUUAAACAUGGCAAGGGGUGAAGCAUAAUAAAUCUAUCUAUUUAAGUAAGUUUAAAUGAGGCCGGAAAUAACAAACAACAAGUCCGGUAAAUCCUCAUGUGCAUAUUUUUGAUUUGGUACUGUUCUGCCCUAAAUCAUAUUUUAAUAUUGUUAAACAGUAAAACAAAGUGCAUCAAGUUAAUCUAUGCAUUUUCCACCCCAUUUACAUAUAAAGUUUAUUAAAAUCGGAGUUACGGUUAUUUAGUUAUGAAAUAAAUCAUUUUCAUGGCAAUUUGAGCAAAUUUAAACAAACAACAUUUUAAGCAUUUUAAACAUGGAUGAAAGCAACAUAUUAUGAAACUAGAUGAAAUUCUAAGCAUUUUACAUAUAUAAUUCAUUUUAAUAUGAUGCACGGAUGUGGAGUUAUUAAUGCAUGAACAUUAAGGGGUUUUCUGAAAAACUGCAGUUCCUGGGAAAAUAGCUAAAAUCGCAACAGAGGAAAAAAACGCAUCGGGCCGAAUCUGGGACGGAUUGGGUGCAGGACUGUGGGUGGCUCACCAUGGGCCAAGCCCAGUUCGGUGGGGAGGAGGAUGGGCAGGCCGCGAAGGGGCGCGCUGGGCCUUGGCGCGGAGGAGGCCGACCCGUGGUUGCAGCCCAUGUGAGCAGCCGAAUCGGUCAACAGGCGAAGGGGCGGGCGAGCUGCUGCUGCUCAUCUCUGAAGAACAGAACCAACAGCAGGUUCAGGGCGACGGACGGCGAGAUGGUGGGGUCGACAGGCGCGAGAAGCAGCGGGUCGGCGAGGCAACCGGCGACGGGGAGAGCUUGGCCGGAUCCGAACAAGGAGGCAGGCCGGCGGCAGGGCAAACGGCGGCGGCUUGGCGAGGGACUUGGCGCUGGAGCUUCAGACGAAGCAGGGCGCGACAGCAGCAGCACGAGGGCGCGAAACAGAGGCAACGGCGGCGGCUUGGCGAGGGACUCGGCGCGACGACGGCGAACUUGGCGCGGCGGAGCUUGCUGCUGGCGAUGCGGGGCGACGGCCGCGAUCAACGCGAGACGCGGGCGAGCGGGCGCCUCGUCCUCUGCUCGUCAGGAAGCAGAGCAGCGGCGGCGUCUUGGCACGACUCCACGUCGGCGCCGGGGACGGGGAAACGGGCGGAGGUGGCCGGAGGAGCGCGAAACGGCGAAUCCACGUCGGAUCCAGGCGGUGGAGGUGGCUGACAGCAAAGCUUCAAGGCGACGGAGCUUCGUCCUGGGGCAGAGAGGAAAAGAGAGAGUUGAGAGAGGGGAAACGCAGGGAGGAAACGGAAGGUGAAGAAAAAGGGAGGUGGCCGGCGCUCAUCUGGUUGGCUGCUGGUUCGCUCGCCGGCGGGGAGGUUGGCGGUGACGCGGGGCUCCGGGCGAGCACCUGCUCGGGAGGGGAUCGAGGAGGCAGCGGGUGAGGUGGAGUUGGAUCGAGGGUUGCUCUGGUUGGCCGGGCGGAUCGAGGGGAGGCCUCGAGUGCUGGUUGGGUGAGAAGGGGAUCUGGGAGGAUCCCGAGGAAGAAGAUGGGUGAUGAGACAGGGGCGGCGGCUGGGAGGAUGGGACAAGGCUCCUAAAUUUUAGGGUUAGGCAGGUAGGUGGUCUAUUUAUAGAUAGAGGAGAAGGUUUAGGGUCUCACUAAUUUAGAUCCG